rnacentral:rRNA from 1 species
UACGGAGGGGGCUAGCGUUGUUCGGAAUUACUGGGCGUAAAGCGCGCGUAGGCGGUUUUGCAAGUCGGGGGUGAAAUCCCGAGGCUCAACCUCGGAACUGCCUUCGAUACUGCGGGUCUCGAGUCCGGGAGAGGUGAGUGGAAUUCCUAGUGUAGAGGUGAAAUGCGUAGAUAUUAGGAAGAACACCAGUGGCGAAGGCGGCUCACUGGCCCGGUACUGACGCUGAGGCGCGAAAGCGUGGGGAGCAAACAGG